UACGUAGGGGGCGAGCGUUGUCCGAAGUUACUGGGCGUAAAGCGCGCGUAGGCGGUUGCUUAAGUUAGAUGUGAAAUCCUGGGGCUCAACCCCAGAACUGCAUCUAAAACUGGGCGACUUGAGGACGGAAGAGGGUAGUGGAAUUCCUGGUGUAGCGGUGAAAUGCGUAGAUAUCAGGAGGAACACCCGUGGCGAAGGCGGCUACCUGGUCCGUAUCUGACGCUGAGGCGCGAAAGCUAGGGGAGCGAACGGG
rnacentral:rRNA from 1 species